UACGUAGGGUGCGAGCGUUGUCCGGAAUUAUUGGGCGUAAAGAGCUCGUAGGCGGUGUGUCACGUCGUUCGUGAAAACCUGCAGCUUAACUGUGGGCGUGCGGUCGAUACGGGCAUCACUGGAGUUCGGCAGGGGAGACUGGAAUUCCUGGUGUAGCGGUGAAAUGCGCAGAUAUCAGGAGGAACACCUGAGGUGAAGACGGGUUGCUGGGCUGACACUGACGCUGAGGCGCGAAAGCCAGGGGAGCAAACGGG
rnacentral:rRNA from 1 species